AACGAACGCUGGCGGCAUGCCUAACACAUGCAAGUCGAGCGGUAAGGCCCUUUCGGGGGUACACGAGCGGCGAACGGGUGAGUAACACGUGGGUGACCUGCCCUCAGCUCUGGGAUAAGCCUGGGAAACCGGGUCUAAUACUGGAUAUGACUCCAUGACGCAUGUUGUGGGGUGGAAAGCCUUGUGCGGCUGAGGAUGGGCCCGCGGCCUAUCAGCUUGUUGGUGGGGUGAUGGCCUACCAAGGCGA
rnacentral:rRNA from 1 species